ACAUAGUUGUAAGUCUACACUGUGUUUUUCCUUUCAAAAAUGUCCCCUUGAUUUCCUCUAGUAUGAUUUCACCGUGGCAGAGGCGCGACAAGAAGAUUGCCAAAAAAGGAAGCGAUUCAAACACUUCUUCUGAAAUGUGAGUUCUUUAAACUGCAGACCUUGUUGGAUUUCUGCUUUGAUGAAUUUAGGGUUUAAGUUCGUCCGAGACAAAAAUUCUGAAAAAAUUCCGAUUCUUUCGUUUUGAGCAUCAUUUUGAGUUUCAACCAGGUUCUUCUAAUAGCAUGCGCGAGUCAACGAUCUCCAUCACUCUCUCUGGCAAUGCUAACAUACAGAAUUAAUGAAAGGUUUUUCAAAAAUGAAUGACAAGAGAAUGGCUGGCUAGUGGAGAGGGGCCAAAGGUCAAGAAAAAACAGAGCAAAUAUAGGUUCACGAGAAAUGUGGACUCCGCGACCUACUUUCUUUUUUUAUAACUCAGGAUGUCCGGAACAGUUUGCGCGCACCUCGACUAAUGCCUGGAGGACCAAUCCCAAAGGCCAUUAGUGGAGGGUCCGAUUAGAGAUGGAGCAAAUUGCCAUAUGGACUGGCUUCAUAAGAGUUGAUAUUAUUUUGGAGGUUUGAACUUGAGACCUACGAGGAAGGAGCCAGUCUCAUGAUUCAGAUCAGACAAUCAAACUAUGCGAGGAGCCAGCUCCUACAGAUCUGACAAUCAAGCUACGCGGGAAGCCAGCUCCUAUCAUCAGUCUUGCAGUUCUAUGUCACACUGUAUUUUCCAGGAGAGGACUCCUCUUUCUCAAUUCACAUUGAUGGCCAAAGACUUGGACCUUCCAUUCUCCUGGAAAAUGCAGAUUGUGAAGGGCCAUGCCCUACAGCGGUUUUGUCAACGAACGCGUCUGGGGCUGGAUCAACUAACCUAACACUUAAGGAGGCCUUGCCAUAGGUGGUUGCACUUGCUUUAGUGUUAUUGACGAAGGCUAGUCUAGGUUUGGUAAUACCCAAAACUGUGAGAAACCUGCAUUUUCCUGCUUGAUAGGCAUUAUAAUGCUCACAUAUGUUUUUAGUGAGUUGGAAAUAUACAUUAUUCCCGAAUAAAUCACAUAGAUAUAUUCCCAUUUACCUUUCCGAAAUUACUACUAGUUUCAUCUUUUACUGCAUUUGACCCAGAAAAAUUCUUGAGUCCAGAUGUAAAGAUAAUUUCGUUACCUCUUUGACUCUU